GCAGCCGCGGUAAUUCCAGCUCCAAUAGCGUAUAUUAAAGUUGUUGCAGUUAAAAAGCUCGUAGUUGGAUUUCUGCGAGGGUGCCAAUGUCCGCCGACGCGCGUGCGCAGCGGCGCCCUCGCAUCCUUCUGUUACCACCUCUCGGCAUUCACUUGCCGGUGGUCGGCUCAGAGAAUUUACCUUGAGAAAAUUAGAGUGUUUCAGGCAGGCUAGGCCGGAAUACAUUAGCAUGGAAUAAUGGAAUAGGACUACGGUCUCGUUGUUGGUUUGAGGGACUGCAGUAAUGAUUAAUAGGGAUAGUUGGGGGCAUUAGUAUUUAAUUGUCAGAGGUGAAAUUCUCAGAUUUGUUAAAGACUAACUUAUGCGAAAGCAUUUGCCAAGGAUGUUUUCAUUGAUCAAGAACGGAAGU
rnacentral:rRNA from 1 species